AUUGAACGCUGGCGGCAGGCCUAAUACAUGCAAGUCGAGCGAGGCGCGGACGGGUGAGUAAUGUAUGGGGAUCUGCCCGAUGGCGGGGGAUAAUUACUGGAAACGGAACCUAAUACCGCUAACCUUCCGAUGAACCCAUAUUGGACUAGCUAGUAGGUAAGUUAACGGCUUACCUAGGCCACGAUCCCUAGCUGGUCGGAGAGGAUGAUCGGCCACACUGGAACUGAGACACGGCCCGUACUCCUACGGGAGGCAGCAGUGGGGAAUAUUCCGCAAUGGGCGCAAGCCUGAUGGAGCCAUGCCGCGUGUGUGAGGAAGGCCUUCGGGUUGUAAAGUACUUUCAGUCGGGAAGCGUUACCGACAGAGUAAGCACCGGCUAACUCCGUGCCAGCAGCCGCGGUAAUUC
rnacentral:rRNA from 1 species